rnacentral:rRNA from 1 species
GCUUACUCAACUAAUCAUACAAUAUCACAUUAAACAAAACACUUAAAUACCUACCCUACUAACACCCAAAUUAAAGUACUAAAAAGGAAAUAUUUAAUAAAAUAAAGUAGUGAUAUCUCACGUACCUUGUGCAUUAUGGUUUUACAAGCUAAAAAUUUAAAAUUCCCUCCCGAAUUCUACACGAGCUGCCCCCAUAUAGCUACGAGCCCACUACUAGUUGUGGCAACAACUUUAGAAAAUAUGCUGGCAGAGGCUACAUACCACACGCGUUAGAAAAUUGCUGGUUUCCAGUAAAAUUUAUCAAUUAAAACAUGGGGCAAUAGCCUCAGUGUAAGGCCACAGAGGAUAAGCCCUGUGGUCUAAAGCUAUUAACAUAACCAAAAAUAAAUAGGCCUAAAAACAGCCAUCAACAAUACCUUACCGUAAUACUCAUAUAAUUUAUACACUUACUUGCAUCUAAAAGCUGGAAUUUGAAACAAACUCCCCCUAUUAAAAUAUUAUGUAAAAAUAAGUAUUAUGGAUAAAUAUAUAUAUAUAAAUAUAAAAUAUAAUCACAAACAAAAAACAAACACUUAUAAAGGAACUCGGCAAAUCCUUAUUUCGACUGUUUAACAAAAACAUUGCUUCCCGUAAAAAAUGGGAAGUAAUUCCUGCCCAGUGACUAAGUUCAACGGCCGCGGUAUCCUAACCGUGCAAAGGUAGCAUAAUCACUUGCCCAUUAAUUGUGGGCUAGAAUGAAAGGACCAACGAAAUAAAGACUGUCUCUAUAAGCCACCUAAAAAUUAAUAUCUAACUGAAGAGUGUUAGAUCUCGUCGAAGGACAAGAAGACCCUAUAGAGCUUUAUUUUAAUAAAAAUUAUAAAUUUUUAAUAAAUUCGGUUGGGGCGACCAGGGAAAUUAUCAAUCAUCCCCUAUAAAAAGAUAAAUUAAUCUAAACUCUGACCCUUAAUCAAGAUCAACAAAUCAAGCUACCUUAGGGAUAACAGGCUAAUCCCACUAAAGAGUCCUUAUCAAUAGUGGGGGUUGGCACCUCGAUGUUGGCUUAGGGAAUCUAUGUGGCGCAAAAGUCACAUAAAGAUGGUUUGUUCAACCAAUAACACCCUACAUGAGCUGAGUUCAGACCGGCGUAAGCCAGGUUAGUUUCUAUCCUCGAUAAAAUAAUCUAUUUAUAGUACGAAAGGACCUAAAUAAGAAUAAUAAUUAUAGCUAAAGAAUAAAUAUAAGACAUAUUUAAACUAAAUAUUCAUAAACUAUGAAGU